rnacentral:rRNA from 1 species
CAGUAGCGUAUAUUAAAGUUGUUGCAGUUAAAAUGCUCGUAGUUGAAGUUCGGAUGCAGCAGAGCUUGGAAACGCUGUUAUGGUGCUUCCGUUGCUUUUGCUUGUCCACAGUGCGUUGCAAGUACGUAUGUGCUUGUGCGUGCAUUUUACUUUGAGAAACAUAGGGUGUUCCACGCAUGUUACGGCAUGAAUAUUCCAGCAUGGGAUAAUCUGGUACGACUUCCAAUCUGCCAUUUUGGUUCGUAGGUUGGAAGUAAUGAUUAAUAGGGACUGUCGGGGGCAUUGGUAUUUGACUGUCAGAGGUGAAAUUCUUAGAUUCGUUGAGGACCAACCACUGCGAAAGCAUUUCUCAAGGAUGUCUCCAUUAA